GCAAAACAGAGGAAAUGUCAAAUCAGUGGGGCUGAUACAUUCUUUAUCUGUGGUCAUUGUCCCAAUGAGCAAGAGUGUAUCAGCUAGAUCCAGGGCUAACAUGUCCCUGUGUAGAGAAGCUCUUCAUGGUUAAGCAGUGCUUUGGGGAUUCAAUGCAGUUUGACACCAUUUUAACUACAAUUCUCCAAUACUAUGGAAUCAUGGCAGAACUUCCCCAAAUUUCAAAAGAUCUUCACAAAUGGGAUGAAUCACCUUUGAAGUUGAAGGUCAUGACCCAGGAAGAGAUGGAGGGAUAGUGGAGCUGUACAACUUGGUUUUUAGAUGAUGCCACCAAGAACAUUUUGCCUUCUUUUACCAUUAUCUGCAGUUUCAUGGAGAUGGACUUCUGGCACUCAGUGAUCACCUGGUUAAUGGAGUGAAAGUGACAAGAUGCUUAUGUGAAAAUGAAGCUGCAUUUUAUGAUCAGUAUCAACUCACAUAAUGCUAAUAAGCUGCAUUUUAAGGUCAGCUAGAUAUCCAUUGAGUAUAUCAGUUUUCAUUCAAUGUAUGGGGCCUGAAAUACACAUACAUUUGUA